rnacentral:rRNA from 1 species
UGACUCGAAUCAGUAGANACCGUGAAUUAAA